rnacentral:lncRNA from 1 species
CGGUGACCGUUGACCGGCAAGGGCAUUUUGGUAAUUUCACACUAUGAGGGCAAUUUUGUAAUUUCUGAGCCUGUUGAUAUUUUAGUAAUUCCUAGAAUUGAGGAUUAAGGGUAAUUAUGAUUCCGAGGGUAAUUCAGUGAUUUAAGAUUUCAGAGCAUGUUAAUGAUCUACGGGCUCAAGGGCAUUUUAGUAAUUUUAUGGACACAGGAGUUGUAAAUUAGGGAUAGAUGUUCGUUUCGAGUUUAUUGCAUAAAAUUUAGUCAUUAUUCCGAUUUACGGAAAUAAUUAUGUCGUUUCCUUGAUUUAGGAAGAUUCGCGAGCGAGAACCCGUCCGCGGACGUGGACGAUAACCGACCGUGAACACCGUCAUUGUGAGUGGAAUAUACAAAACCUAUUUUCAUAGUUAAUUAUGAUGGUAAUGCAUGUUUGUGAAAUAAGUAUUUUAAAUGUUCCGAUUUAAUGAUUUCCUCGAAAUGGAUUUUUUUUACGCAUUGGUAUUUUAUUAAAAUGUUUGGUUAUUGAUUUUACGUAUCGACUUUGAAUAAAGCAUGAUAAUAUUUUAAAGAUAAGAAAAGUGGAUUCAAAUGUGGUAUGAUUUAAAAUAUGGUUAAGAGGUAUGUGACUAUGAGUAUAAUGAUUGUUUUUGAAAUCAUUAGACAGUAGUACAGCAGACUUGAUCUUCAAUUCAUUCCAUCAUUCUUUGAUUAUUCCCUCUUUAAGAUUCCUUUCACUUAAAUAUUUCCAAUAUAACCCCACAAUAACAAAAUAUAAAAAUAAGAUAAAAAUUAAUAUAAUAAAAUAAAAUUUAACAUAAAAUUAAGUUAGGGAAGUAUUAAAAUAAUUUCUUAAUUUUAAGCACAUCAACAGCCUUUAAUUUUUCUCUUAUAACACUAAUAUUCUCAUUAGUACUCUGAACAAUUUAAUGACCAAACAACUUACUUUACUUGAAUUCAUCUCAACAGAUUAGGGUCCUACAUUUCUUUUCAUACAAAGCCUCAAAUAUAUGAUGAGAUAUGAGAUGGUAUUUCCCUGUCUAUUCGUGUAGCUCCGGGGCAUGACGUUACCCAGAUAGUACAUCAUUGCCCGUCCGUUGAGGUCCGGAUAUGACGAGAUUAUUUCCCUGGGUACUUGUUUGGUGACGAUUUUCAGAUUUGUGAAUUCUAUAUGAUAUUGUGAUAUGAUUUCCAUGGUUAGUAAUCUGAUUUAAAUGUUUAAUGAUUUAUUACUAGUUUCUCGCUUAUGGUUAAAUCAAAUCGUGUUUGGAAAUGAUAUGAUUAUUUCUUUUUAAAGUAACAAUUAAUUUUCAAAACUACUAUCCACUCACUGAUCUCACUAAGUUUUAAACUCACCCCGUUUUUAUUAUAUUUUCCCCUCUCACCAGGAGGUUGCAGGUACACCAGACCGACCCAGCGAUUGUAAAUAUAUUUUGAGUCUUGGCCACGUGAUGGUGUUAGAAGAUAUAAAUAUUUUUGUUAGGACAUCUUGGUUAUCUCGUCCUGUUGGGAUUGUAUAAUUUUGUUAUAUUAUUCUUUUGGGAUUAAGAAUAAACUGAGAUAUUAAUAUUAUUCAUAAUAUUAUCUUUUAAGACUCUAGAGAUAUAAAACUCAGCAUUUUGGUUGAGGAUAUUGAUCACUGGAGUUUGUUGUAUAUUGAAUUAUAUUGGGAGUGUUAUAUUCAUAUUUGUAGAUUGGGAGUAUUAUAUAUAUAAAGGAGACUUUGCCGAAUUUUAGGCAGAAUCUUUACUAAUAGAAUUUUUAUCAAGUCUGUUUUGAUGAGACUAGAUAGACUCGCUUGGGGGGGAUUCAGGGCGGGUCGUUUCAGUUCGUAUCAAAGCAUGAUUUUAGAUUCUGUAGACUUUACUAUCUUAAUAAGAAUAAGUUUUAUUAUUAAAGUUAGAAUUUAUAUCUUGUAGGCACCAUCAUGCUUCGUCGUAGUAGUAGACGUGGUCGUGGCCGUACUACGCCAAUAGCUGGGUUGACUUCUGGUAGUGUACCUACAGGGGAAAGUGAACCCGUGAAUGAGGGGAUAAUUGAAUCCUCUACGCAUGAAAUUACACAACAAGCACCGGGGAAUGCCCCAAAUAUUGAGCAGUCAUUUGAUAGGCUGGCUCAGAUCAUGACUACAGUUGUGCAAAAUCAGACUCAAGCGCAUGUCGAUAAUGCAAACACUAUUGAGCGAGUGAGACGUUUAGGGGCGAAGAGCUUUAAUAGUUUCGGAGAACCACCUGAGGCUGAGUCAUGGUUUAUUAAGUUAGAGCGUAUUUUUGACGUGAUGAAGUGUUCGGAGGAUGACAGAUUAUCCUUUGCCACUUUCUUGCUCGAGGAUAGAGCUUACCAUUGGUGGCAAAUUGUGGAGAGAUGAUAUCAGGGGCAUGUUGUGAUUACUUGGGCCGUUUUCCGCAAGAAAUUCUACGAUCAUUAUUUUCUUGCUGUAUAUCAGGAUAUUAAAUGGAGUGAAUUCUUUCGGUUGGUUCAGGGAUCUCUAACAGUUGAGGAGUACGAGAAGAAAUUUUUAGACCUCUCUAGAUUUGCUACAUCUGUAGUCGGUGAUGAGAGAGAGAGAUGCAGACGGUUCGAGGAUGGCCUCCGAUUUGAGAUUCGCUCCACCGUGACUGCAUCACGAUAUACUGAGUUUGGAGAGGUGGCUGAGGUAGCCAGGAGAGUAGAGCACAGUAUUUCAGAAGGACGUAGAUUUCAUGCACUGAAGCAGAAGCGUAGCCAGAGCUGGGCAGAGGGUGACUCUAGUAGUAGGCCGCUGUUGGCAAAUUUUAUAAGCAAUAACUAUCAAUGUCAAUGUGUAAGUAUACACAAUAAGUAAUAAAGUGAUAAGUAUUCAAGAUCAUCUACAUAGGGAUUGAUGUUAUUCAAAAUGUUAUAGCACUCACAAUAACGCAACUCAACUUGAAACCAAAACAAACAAUUGUCAAAUAAUUUCUAUCAUAAUCGAUAAUUGAAAUAAGAAUUAAAUAAGACAAUACUGUAAUGAAAUAAACUAGAUUAAUUGUGUUUAAGAUUCAAUUGAGAAUAUAGUAGUUGAAUGAUCAAACUCUCCUAAUAGGGUGACUGUUGUUUACCAAAUUAGCACCAGUCAUUAGAAUAAGUGCUGCAGCACCGAGUAGAAUAAAUCGGCAUCCUUAGCUAUCGCAUGUUGGAAGUUUCAUACCUUUAAAUCUACUAACAAUGACCAGUUGCUCAUAUAUUUAUGGUACGACAUUAUAACCUUUAAUCUUUCUACCCUACAAGGUGAACACCUAUGUCUAGAGUGUCAUAAAUCUUAACUUCAAGUAUUACCCUUAUGGGAUUCAGGAUAACCUAAUCCAGGAAACUCGACUUAGGAAUAAGUAAUACUCUAAUAAUGUCUGCUAAGACAUGCCCUUUUGCUGCUCUAUCUUAACUAAAACUAUUAAAUGGGUGGUUAACCGAAAUAACAUUAUAUUCAUAAAAGCUAUUAAAGCAAAAUGCUACAGUAAUACCAUAACAACAUAUAAGAACAGUCAAGAACCCAUUGGAUUAUUUGUCACUCAACUACAAGUAAAUUUAGUUCAUAAUCUGGAUGAGAAAAAUAAACAUAAACAUAUUGGUCUCGGAAUACAUCAAAUCAAUUAAAGGAAGAAGAUAAAUAUAAGUUAAGCAUGGUGAAAAUCAAAGCCAAGUAAUUCUGCACGAUUGUCCAAUGUUGCCGAAACAACGCUUUUCAAUUAUGAUCUUCUUCUUCUUCUUCUUCGUUCCUUCUAAUUAUUCUAAUGAUAAUUCCUUUUCCGCCUUUCUUUGUGGUAUUGCCUCCUUUUUAUAUUGCAAAUUAGGGUAAACAUAAGCCCAUGAGCGUGCAUGCGAUAAAUUAGGAAACAUGUGCUGACCCGCGCCUAAGUUUUCUCCCGCAUUUACUUCCAGAUUGCUACAGCAUGGGUUGCUUUAACAUCCGCAACAGCAUUGCAUUGCUCCCGAUUGUGCUUUUCUUCUUUUAUGGUUGUCUUCUUUCCUUCUCUUGCUCAUCUAAUGUCUCAACAUCCCCUCAUGAAUUAAGACUUUCCAAGAAUCUACAAUUAUGCAUCUGUUUUUAGCACAAACUACUAUGAUUCAAGCAAAACUUAUUAAUACUAAUCUAAAAUGAAUGUUUAAACAAAAUGUAAUCAAAAUGUAAUAAAAACAUCUUAUUUGUUCUCUAAAUGAUCUUGAUUCAAGUCUAGAAUUGAUGUAAUAACUCUCAUUUCCUAGAGUUAUCACACCCCAAAACUUAAACCAUUGCUUGCCCUCAAGUAAUGACACAUACUAACAUUUCCCGCAAACAAACAUGCACACAACUUUAGCUCUUUUAUCAAUUUUUACAAGGAUUCUUCCACCUUCAGAUCACAUUCCCAAUUAUGCAAGAUGACCAUAGUAAAUUAGUUAUAGACUUAAGCUUCUUUCUGUCCAUAUUGUGUGUGUGCUCUUUCGGUUGAAUUCUAGAUAUGCCAUAACAUCACCAAGGGACUGCAUGAAUUUCAGCAGUGAGAAUACUUCAUUUAUAAAUGGGGUAACAAAACUUUCACAUACUCAACAGUGAUAAUUUUAGGAUUUGACAAACUAGGGAAUAUUCAACCUCCUCACUGUAACAUUUAUCUUUCAUGUGAAUGUCAAUCAAUUGUAAUGAUGACAUCCAAUUACUCAAACCAUGCCUAGAUUAGAGUUGUUGCAGCAGUAACUAUAAUGUAAUCUUAUCUAGAGGUAUCUUUUACUCAAGGCUGAACAUGGGGCUCAUGAACAGACCUGGAUACUCAAUGCCUUAGACAUAGGAUUUUUUUUUAUAUAAUUGUGCUACAGCAUUGCUCAUAACUCUUGCUACCUUUGAACACAAUUCGUCAUUUGGGGUACAUACUCAGAUCUGGUUACUCAACAACUUAAGCCAUUGGAACAGAUUGUAUUUCAUAGAAAUCACGGUUAAUCAAACUUGCUUUUCCCCCCAAACUUAGGAUCUUUUCUAUUCUUUUGGCUUUGCUCUAGCAGUCUCAUACAAUUCAACCAAAGUCUAAGUGUGAGGACAUAAUUUCACUUUCAUCUAUAACUUAUCUCUACUUGGCAUAUAAAUACUGAAUAGCACUCAAUUUAUCUUCAUUAGGUUUUCAAAUCCAUACACAAAUACUGGAUAACAGAGCUUCACACCACACAAACAUGAACACAUGUAUAUAAACAAAAACAUAUGCAUUCGGAAACAUAACCCCCUUAAACUUGAGAGUUGCUGUGUCCUUACACACAUACAGAACAAAGGCACAUGAACUGACAAAGAUAUGGGAAAACCUUUGAAAAUAUCACACAAAUUGACAACCGAAGGGAAGAAAUUUUUUUUUAACAGAAAUAAACUAGUAAGGAAAGAAUACUCCCCUGUGGUGGGGAUUGCAGCACAUGACGGGAUGCUAUUAACGCUUCUUGGAUACACUGCGCAACUUAUCCUUUGGUGAAGCUUGUGGGGAAGUAGCUGGCAAUGUCUUUUUCUUUUUCAUCGCGGGUCUAGUGAGAGGAGUUGUGGAUGGGGUUGCUGUAGCAGGGCCUCUAGAAGUACUGCCUUUUCUUUUGUUGGACUGUCGUGGGCUGGUGCGAACAGGCUGGCUAGGAGUUUGCUGGAGGGGAAUUGGAGCUGAUCCAUCAGCUGCUUGGCCCUCAGCUGUGAUGGCUGCAAUGAUCGCCAAUAGUUGCUUGGCUUGCUCAGGUGUAGGCGUAACUUUAGUUGCUGCAGCAUCUAGCUCGGCAUCAACUUGCUCCAUUUCAUCUGCAGAGUCUGGAGGUGUUGCCAUUUUCGCUUUACCCUUGUCCUUUCCCUUGCUCGCAAGGACUGGAAUAGAUGGUUCCUCUUCAGGGUCUUUCUCCUCUUCUUCUUGAAUAAUGUGCUGCUUCCUAGUUUUGGACUGGGUUGGGAUGGUUGGUCCAUCACGUUCUUUCUCCGAAUUGUCCUCUGCCUUUGAGGGUGAGUUAUCAGUCUCAGACUUGUCACCGUCGUCCUCAGGUGGGUUAGAUGGUUCAGCAUCUUGUGAUUCGACUUCUACUUAUGGAUCAGCUGCAGCUUCUUCUGUUGGUUCAUCUGUAGUAGUGGCUUCUUUAUUGGCUUCUGCUGGAGCAUCUGUGGUGUUGGUGUCAAAAUUAUACUACGGGAUCAGUGAAUCAGGGAAGUUCUGGUGAGUGCGUUUCAUGUACAGGGCAAAUUGGUGUAGUUGGUUGUCCAGGUGCUGGAGAUAAUUCCAAAACCGAUCGUUCUCCAGCUAUUGUGCUUCCGCACAUUAAGUUAUACUUGUGCUAAGUGCAUGGAUGGUCUGUUCUAAGCCAAGAGCUCGUCUUGCUCCUGUCACAGCAGCUGGUUCAGUGGCUGUUCCAACACUCUCACCAACAACUCUCUCAAUAGUUUGUGUCGUAAAGACACCAUCAUUCUUGACAUGGUCAUCUCAGGUGUCAAGACGAACACCUGAAACUACACAAAUACUGGUGAAAAGUGAGGGAAAUAGCAAGGUAGCAGUUCGGUGAGUCUUGACUGCACACUCUCGGAUUUCUUUUGCAAUGAUGCUACCCACAUCUAUGGGAAACCUGCUAACGAUGACAACUCGACCCGGAACCCGCGACCUUGACCCGACCAUAUCUCCCAUUUCCGGCCACCGUUUCGGCCGAGCAUGGUACUAAUCUGAAGCUUAGAAGUCGAUCGCCAUUCCCUUGCCAUCCUCGUCGCCGAAAACCAACCGGAACACCGGCAAUCGAAGCUUGAAACCCGCGACUGUUUCACUUUGCUCCGCCGGGAUUUUCACCGGUUUUAGGUGACACCAUCGGUUGGAUUUUUUUCCUCACAACUCCCUCUUCCAUUUUCGACCAUCCAUAGGCACCGAGAGUCAUUGUUUUGCAGCCGGUCGAUUGUUGGAAUUCACGGUUGUCGAGAUAGAUUCCGGCGUCGUUGCUGCGCAUUGGAGCACACCACCAGUACCAUUGAACCAAAUUCCGAUGACCGUUGACCGACAAGGGCAUUUUGGUAAUUUCACACUAUGAGGGCAAUUUUGUAAUUUCUGAGCCUGUGGAUAUUUUAGUAAUUCCUAGAAUUGAGGAUUGGGGGUAAUUACGAUUCUGAGGGUAAUUCAGUGAUUUAAGAUUUCAGAGCAUGUUAAUGAUCUACAGACUCAAGGGCAUUUUAGUAAUUUUAUGGACACGGGAGUUGUAAAUUAGGGAUAGAUGUUCGUUUCGAGUUUAUUGCAUAAAAUUUAGUCAUAAUUCCGAUUUACGAAAAAUAAUUAUGUCGUUUCCUUGAUUUAGGAGGAUCCGCGAGCGAGAAUCGGUCCGCAGACGUGGACGAUAACCGACCGUGAACACCGUCACUGUGAGUGGAAUAUACAAAACCUAUUUUCAUAGUUAAUUAUGAUGGUAAUGCAUGUUUGUGAAAUACGUAUUUUAAAUGUUCUGAUUUAAUGAUUUCCUCGAAAUGGAUUUUAUUUACGCAUUGGUAUUUUAUUAAAAUGUUUGGUUAUUGAUUUUACGUAUCGACUUUGAAUAAAGCAUGAUAAUAUUUUAAAGAUAAGAAAAGUGGAUUCAAAUGUGGUAUGAUUUAAAAUAUGGUUAAGAGGUAUGUGAAUAUGAGUAUAAUGAUUGUUUUUGAAAUCAUUAGACAGUAACCUUCCCUCCAGAUACAUGUGAUACAAAUGAGAUGAGAGGCUUUUGGGGCCCGUCUGAACACACAUAGAGGCUUUGGGCCGUGUGUUUGGGCGCUUUUGCCUUUUGGGGGCAUAUGCAUGCGGUAUGAUGAUUACAGAGAUACAGAUAU